rnacentral:rRNA from 1 species
GACGAACGCUGGCGGCGUGCUUAACACAUGCAAGUCGUACGGUAAGGCCCUUUCGGGGGUACACGAGCGGCGAACGGGUGCGUAACACGUGAGUAACCUGCCCACAACUAUGGGAUAACGCUAGGAAACUGGUGCUAAUACUGGAUAUGUGCUCCUGCUGCAUGGUGGGGGUUGGGAAGCUCCGGCGGGUGUGGCUAGACUGGCGGGCUAUCAGCUUGUUGGUGGGGUAAUGGGCUACCAAGGCGGCGUAGGGUAGCCGGCCUGCGAGGGUGACCGGCGACAUUGGGACUGAGAUACGGCACAGACUCCGACGGGAGGCAGCAGUGGGGAAGAUUGCACGAUGGGCGCAAGCCUGAUGCAGCAGCGCCGCGUGCGGGAUGACGGCCUUCGGGUUGUAAACCGCUUUCAGCAGGGACGAAGCUUUUUGUGACGGUACCUGCAGAAGAAGCACCGGCUAACUACGUG